GACGAACGCUGGCGGCGUGCCUAACACAUGCAAGUAGAACGCUGCAGUCGGAUCUUGUUUCUCUGGAUGGCUUACCGCCGGGUGACCAACCCGUAGGUACCCUGCCUCUUAGCGGGGGGGAAGCUAUGGCAACGAUAGCUAUUACCGCCUAAUAGUAGAUGUUGCAUGACAGUUGCUUAAAAGGUUCACUAGCUUCUCUACUAGAAGGACCUGCGUUGUAUUAGCUAGUGGGUGUGGUAACGGCUCACCAAGGCCACUAGACAUAGCCGACCGGAGGGGGUGAUCGGCCACACUGGGACAGAGACACGGCACAGACUCCUACAGGAGGCAGCAGUAGGGAAUCUUCGGCAAGGGACGGAUGUCUGACAGAGCAACGCCGCGUGAGUGAAGAAGGUCUUCGGAUCGUAAAACUCUGUAAUUAGGGAAGAACAAAUGUGUAAGUAACUAUGCACGUCUUGACGGUACCUAAUCAGAAAGCCACGGCUAACUACGUG
rnacentral:rRNA from 1 species